GUGCUAACAUAGAGUAGUCUCAAAAGCAUAUAAUUAAGUGAAAACAAAGCAUAGACAAUACAUAUAGUAUACUUCCAUUUAUCUAAAAAUUAUAUAUACCUAAAUACAUAUUAUAUGUUUGUAUGUACAUAACAUUUUUCUGAAAUGCUACAGGAAAAAAUGGGAAGUAAUAUGGAUCUGGGGUGGAAGGAAUUCCUAUUUUUCUUUGUAUUUUUUUUCUUUUUUUUUUGGCUGUGUCGGGUCUUAGUUGCGAUACGCGGGAUCUUCUUUGAGGCGUGUAGGAUCUUUCCUUGAAGCGUGCAGGCUUCUCUCUAGUUGCGGCGUGCGGGUUUCCUCUCUCAAGUUGAGGCACGCAGGCUCAGUAGUUGUGGCACACGGGC